AUUUUAGUUUUAUGUAUGCUGUUACAAAUUCUUAUUUUGUCUUUUUACACGGAAAGCUUCAACUUGAUGUGUGUGUGUGUGUUCGGGUGUUUUCAACAAUUUCAGUAAUAUAAACCACGGUAAGUUGAUGGUUUGUAUUAAAUUAGUAUGUUUUAUGUAUAUUUUAAUGUUUUACCACACAUUUUAAAAUAUGUUUUAACAUAUGUUUUAAACUAAUGAAUAGAGUGUAUAGAUACCAUUUUCAUGUUAUGUAUGCUGUUUUAUAAUUUUUGUUUUGUCUUUUUAACACAGAAAGCUGCGAAUUGACAGGCUGAUGGUUUGUAUUUGUGCACUGUAUUUUACCAGUAUUUCUCAUGUCAGCAUAAAAUAGCAAUUGUUUUGUAUUAUUGUUUUUUUAGGUUGCAUGUUAACUGCAACAGACUACAAACACAGGUGUUGGAUGCCACAGCUGACACUGCUCUCAACUAGAGAAAUGAAAGUAAUGGACAUCUAAACUGUGUUUGUUCUGCCAAACUGAAGGCAAAGCCUGAUGCUUGAUGUCUUAUUUUAUGGUCAUUAUUAGAAGUGAAGUUCAAGCAUAUGUAACUUUGGACUAUUCUGGCACAGAAGAAUAUGGGCCUCUUGCCAUCAAACCCAGAAGGAGCAAUGACUGUUAAAAUCAAUACAGAUUUUGCAUUUUGCAAAGGAUGAAGUUGAGGGUUAUGAGGAUGAUGAUGAUAGUUUAAAUGGGAAAUGGUGAUCAAACACACACAGUUCACAUGAUGAUACUGGAGAGAAUGGAGUGACAAGCAGAUGUAGAAGAAAAAGUCCAGCUGCAAAUUUUCCAAGAAGAUAGUCCAGCAAUCAAUUGUCUUGGAAGAUACAGUAUGGAUGUGGACCUGUAGUAACUAAAGGUAUAGUCUCUGUGCAUUCACAGAGAGAAAUCAUUCAUUCACAGUAAUAUUGCAGAAAGAAAAAAAAAAUUAAAUUAAAUAACUUAAAACGAGCAAAAUCAUUUUUAGCUCGACUAUUAGCUAUUCUACUCACCCUUGAGUCAGCGUAAAAACUAAUGCAGAUACUGGAUUGAAGCUCUAUAGAUAUUUUAACAUUUAAGGUAAUAUUUCUGCUUCUGGGACAACAAUUUGAAUAGUUGAGCAUUGGCUGUCUUACGGACAGCUCUUCUUUAGGUUUACAGUAGUUGCUUUGGAAUUUAAAAAAAUUUAAAAGGGUGAAUUUUGCCCAUAAAGAA